rnacentral:lncRNA from 1 species
CUUUAUUUGAAUGAUCUGAUGAGCUAACUCUAGGGUUCAAUGUUUUUAAAAAAAGCAACACUUUGCCAGUGAAGUAUACCAGUGAGGUCCCUGUGCCUUUAAGACUCAGAAUUAUUUGGGCUAAAGCCAGAUACCAUCUGCAUUUCACUGUUUCAGUCCCGGGAGACGCUCCGCGGAUACAAUCUUUCUACAGAGCGAAGUCUGAAUGGGGGCCGGAGGGAGAACGAGGAUGGACAGGACGUCCCAGAAAGCCAUCGGCGGCAGGGCCAUGCCUCGCACCUGACCUGCACAGCAGGUGGCCCAGAGCUCAAGUCAAGCAGCCGCCAGUCCCGAGUCCCGCCCUUUGAGAGGGCGCAGGCCCGGACAACGCUGGCUCAAAUACGUGAUAAACACCGCUCGUCGACUAUACACUCAACAACCAAAAUAAGUCUCUGUAUGGACUGAAAUAGAAAUGCAAGUAUAUUGAGUGCUGAAAAUAAAGCAAGAUGUUUCUGUUGGAGUGGAUCAAUGGAAGGAAGAACUCUCCUUUAAAAGAUCUCUUGAACAUAGAUGGAGGAAUGAUGAGUCGUGUUUAAUUAUUUAAGUAUGGAAUUCACCCAAAAGGGCACUUGAUGCUUCUGGUUUAUUGGGAGAUACUGGAUGUGAAAGACAGCAAAAUCCCGGUGAGCAUGUGCAGGAAACCCAAAGCUCAGCAACUAACCCUUCUCUGCUUCACGAACCUUAGUGCUGAGUCCAGGUCGCUUCUCCAAUGUCCUCUCACGCUGGCCUUGGUGAUGUUAUAAUAAAGAGAGCAUAGGAUUUUACCAAAUGUAGAGGGCUCCUGCGAUUCAUCUCUUUGACUUCUUCUGAGGCUGCAUGGACCUUUGCUUCCGGACACUUCUAGCGGCUGAGUGAGGUUUCAGAGAGCCAUGAAGGUGUACAGCUGAAAAGGCAUCUUGCAGAAGAUCAACUUGACUUUAUAUCUGAGCCAAAAGUCAUUCAGAGUGAGGAACUGGAAAGGCCAGAUGAAGAAAAGUGUGUGGAAAGUAAACAAUGCAGUGAUCGGAGGCGUGUGUGCACUUUCCUUGGACUUUAGAUGGAAGAGGGUCAACAUGCACUUUGUUUCCGUCUGUGUGAUUGACUCGCUCUAUGCCAUGCUUGCUAACUGAGACCUUCCUUCAGCUCUUCAGCUGAGCUGUGAGUGGCUUUGAGGGUUGGGAGGUCUCCCACUGAGGGGUCAGGGGUCAGGUCCUGUAUACUUUUUGAAGAGCAGGGGCAUUUGAGCAAAACAAAACUGGAGUUAAUCCCUGCUUUCCUAUUAGAAAAGUUGUGUUCUUUCUCUAUGCCUGUUUCCCCAUCUGUUAAAAAGUGAUAAUGGUAAUACAACUUAGUGAGGCUGUUGUGAAGAAUAAAUAAGAAAUUUGACAUAAAGAGCAAGCUGACAUUUACUAAGUUCUCAAUAAAUGUUGAUAAAUAUCUAAUUGAUCCACUACAACUCACAUAGGCUAGGAGUUUUUGUCUUUGCCUAAACAUUCUCGUGGCUUUUAUGCAAGCUUUUCUUUGUCCUGGUCUCCAAGUGGCAUGCUAACGGCAACUUUUACUGGCUCGCAAGAGCCGAUUAUUAAAUUUUUAGGAAUUUUGAGCUCUGGUUGUUAAAAACUGCCAAUAUUUAAAAAUAGAUGAAAAGAAACAUAUAAUUAAAUAAUUAUAUUUAAAACAAAGUUGAUAAAUACUCAAAACUCAUCACUUCCUAAUUAGUUCACUGGAUUUUACUAUUAUCUAUACUCUUGAGGUUAUUUAUGUCUAUUUUUAUCUGUGUGGUGAAAACAUGUGCCUCGCUUCCAAACUUGUGUUCAGUGACAUCCCUCUUGUGGCUUGAAAAGAGCCAAGUGGCUUGAAAACAGACAUCCCUCUAAGUGGCUUUUGUAGACCAUUGCUCCACAGAAAUACGCGAAUACUAAAUUCAAGAUUUUUCCCAAAGAGCCAAUUAUUAAACACUUAUCAUAAUUUCGUGUUUAUUAAUUCUACACAUGGAAAAAUCGGAUUAAUUUUAUGUGAGAAUGUACAAAAAUUUAUUCUGAUAAGCUUUUUAUGCUGUGCAGGAGCCAACUCUAAAUGAGUCAAAUAAACUACAUAUCCUAGUGUAAUUCCUUCAUGAAUUAAAAAAGUGAAAACAACAAAAUUUCCAUUUUUAGUGAAAAUGAAAUUUCUGUAAAACAUGCCACUUAAUAAACUUCUAAAUGAAUGUGCAUUCAUCAAACAUUUUGAUUUUAACUGGCUAUUUUUGAAGUAUCUGAAAGUUUACCUAUUCUUGAUUUGGGGAAAUUACUGAAAAUCAUAAAAUUAUUAUUUGUCUCCAAGUAUGUAGAGAUAUAGUUUUAAAUAAAAAUAUUAAUAUGUAACUGUGCAUCAAUGCUGCUUUGUUUUUAAAAUAAAAAGUCAUUCAACCCGGUGCCUGGCACAGAUUGGAAAUGAAGUGAAAUAGAGGAAAGAGCAUGAGAUUUACAUGUGGAAGAUUUGGGUUCAAGUCCUGCUCAUCGUUUGUGUGCUGUGACCUCCAGGCAGCAGUCAGCUAACCAUCGGUAACGUUAGUGUGUCAUGGGUAUGUUAACAUCCAUGGGGUGUUUGGCAUUCGGUAUGUUUGGCAUAUAUGAGGGAGUUUGGCAUACAGUAGAUUUUCCCAUACAUGCUAAUCUACUGUGAUGUCGUUAAUAUUUAUGGAUUAAAUAAAUCGAGAUCAACUGAUUACUUAAAAGCCUCAGUAUAUGCAAGGGAAGAAAUUCAGAAGACCACACUUUUUGGGGAGCAAUUCAUGUCCUAAUUUUGUCUGAAUAAAAACAUGUGUCCCAG